rnacentral:rRNA from 1 species
AACGAACGCUGGCGGCAUGCCUAACACAUGCAAGUCGAACGAGACCUUCGGGCCUAGUGGCGCACGGGGGCGUACCGCGUGGGAACCUGCCCUUAGGUUCGGAAUAACUCCCCGAAAGUGGUGCUAAUACCGGAUAAUGUCUCCGACCCAAAGGUUUAUCGCCGUUGGAUGGGGCGGCGUUGGAUUGGCUAGUUGGUAGGGUAAAAGCCUACCAAGGCGACGAUACAUAGCUGGUCUGAGAGGAUGAUCCGCGACACUGCGGCUGAGACACGGCCCAGAAUCCUACGGAAGGCAGGAGAGGGGAAUAUAGGACUGCGGGGGGAAGGAUGAUGCAGUAAUGCCGGGAGAGUGAUGAAGGACGUAGGGUAGCAAAGCUCUUUUAUACGCGAGGAUAAUGACAGUACCGGGAGAAUAAGCACCGGCUAACUACGUG